AUUAAAGCAUAUUUCUACAAAAAAUAUUUUUUUUUGUACAGAGGUGCCAUUGCCAGCAACAACUUCAAGUACACAUGAGGAUGCUGAUUGUUCAAAUCCUGUUGGAGAUGAAGCCCUAGUAACUGCAGCAAACAACUUGGAGAAGGAAGCAACACAGACAAUUGUAGAACUCCCUGAUAAUUUGACAGGAACAAGUGUCACAUAUGACCUGAUGAUAUCAGAAUCUGGGGCUAAGAUUAAGAAAAAAGAUGAAAAAGAGAAAGGAAGAAAGAGGAAAAAUGAAGAAAGUGUUGCUGAGCUGCAAAGACUGGUUCUGAAAGAAGAUUUGCGAAGAAUUCGAGAAGAAACAGAGCUGAUCAUACUACAGAAGGAAAAGGUUGCAUUGGAGAUUCUGAAACUUAAAUUAGAAACAUCAUCUUUGCAAACUGAAAAUGAAAUGUAAAUUAAAAGUAGUUAUUGACAAUGAAUUGUCUGAUGUUGUUAUUCAUGGGCUGGGCAGCUACUU